CUUGAAGAUAGAUGAGAAAGUACAUCUCCCUCCCUGGCAAGGUUCUGCUUUCUUGUGGAGCCCCAUACUUGCCUGACAGA
ensembl:snoRNA